GACGAACGCUGGCGGCGUGCUUAACACAUGCAAGUCGAACGGUAAGGCCCUUUCGGGGGUACACGAGUGGCGAACGGGUGAGUAACACGUGGGUGAUCUGCCCUGCACUUUGGGAUAAGCCUGGGAAACUGGGUCUAAUACCGAAUACACCUUGCUGGUCGCAUGGCCUGGUGGGGGAAAGCUUUUGCGGUGUGGGAUGGGCCCGCGGCCUAUCAGCUUGUUGGUGGGGUGAUGGCCGACCAAGGCGACGACGGGUAGCCGGCCUGAGAGGGUGUCCGGCCACACUGGGACUGAGAUACGGCCCAGACUCCUACGGGAGGCAGCAGUGGGGAAUAUUGCACAAUGGGCGCAAGCCUGAUGCAGCGACGCCGCGUGAGGGAUGACGGCCUUCGGGUUGUAAACCUCUUUCAAUAGGGACGAAGCGUAAGUGACGGUACCUAUAGAAGAAGCACCGGCCAACUACGUGCCAGCCGCCGCUGUAA
rnacentral:rRNA from 1 species